GAUGAACGCUGGCGGCGUGCCUAAUACAUGCAAGUCGAGCGAACGGACGAGAAGCUUGCUUUUCUGAUGUUAGCGGCGGACAGGUGAGUAACACGUGGAUAACCUACCUAUAAGACUGGGAUAACUUCGGGAAACCGGAGCUAAUACCGGAUAAUAUUUUGAACCGCAUGGUUCAAAAGUGAAAGACGGUCUUGCUGUCACUUAUAGAUGGAUCCGCGCUGCAUUAGCUAGUUGGUAAGGUAACGGCUUACCAAGGCAACGAUGCAUAGCCGACCUGAGAGGGUGAUCGGCCACACUGGAACUGAGACACGGUCCAGACUCCUACGGGAGGCAGCAGUAGGGAAUCUUCCGCAAUGGGCGAAAGCCUGACGGAGCAACGCCGCGUGAGUGAUGAAGGUCUUCGGAUCGUAAAACUCUGUUAUUAGGGAAGAACAUAUGUGUAAGUAACUGUGCACAUCUUGACGGUACCUAAUCAGAAAGCCACAGCUAACUACGUG
rnacentral:rRNA from 1 species